rnacentral:tRNA from 7 species
GGAGGAGUGGCAGAGUGGUUUAAUGCACCGGUCUUGAAAACCGACGUACGUCAAAAGCGUACCGUGGGUUCGAAUCCCACCUCCUCCGCCA